AAUAGCCUGCGGUGUGCGGGAAUCGAANCUUUUGCUNCCUAACACGUCAGCGAGGGNCAGUCCCUGAAGGGGGUGUGCCAGCCUUCCACAAUCAGGAGGAACGCCUCAUCCCUUCACACCGCACCCCAUUUUUUGGGGGCCAGGUACAAAAGCCCUAUUUGACACGGCACUGCGGGCUAUUC
rnacentral:other from 1 species